rnacentral:misc_RNA from 1 species
GAUGAAGAACGCAGCGAAAUGCGAUAAGUAAUGUGAAUUGCAGAAUUCAGUGAACCAUCGAAUCUUUGAACGCACAUUGCGCCCCCUGGUAUUCCGGGGGGCAUGCCUGUCCGAGCGUCAUUACAACCCUCAAGCUCAGCUUGGUGUUGGGCCCCGCCGCCCCGGCGGGCCCUAAAGUCAGUGGCGGUGCCGUCCGGCUCCGAGCGUAGUAAUUCUUCUCGCUCUGGAGGUCCGGUCGUGUGCUCGCCAGCAACCCCCAAUUUUUUUCAGGUUGACCUCGGAUCAGGUAGGGAUACCCGCUGAACUUAAGCAUAUCAAUAAGCGGAGGA